GCAUCCGUAGCUCAGCUGGAUAGAGUACUCGGCUACGAACCGAGCGGUCGGACCGAGUAAUCCUCCCGGAUGCACCA
rnacentral:tRNA from 1 species